UCUGUGGAGACAUCUACUGCUAAUCUUGUUGAUUUUCCUUCAUAAAUUAGGGACGGCUGUUGUCUUGCUGCUUUUAGGACUUUUUUCUUUAUCUCUAUAUUUUGGAAAUUUAACUACGAUAUUUCAUGUUGGUGGCCUGCUUUUGUUGAUUUUGAUGGGAGUUCUCUGUGCCUCCUAGAUUUGGAUGUCCGUUUCUUUCCUCAGAUUAGUAAUGUAACUGAAUAACAAGAGGAAGAUUAAUUAAAUUUUCUAUAGUCAUGGAGCUAGUAAGAAGGGGAACCUGGUUAUGAAGGCAGAACAUCUGGCUCUAGUCAAUGCCACUUCUCUCCUUCUACAACCCAGAAGCCAUAUAAUGAGUUAUAUUUUGGAAUCACCAUGGAUAAUUCCACCCUGUAUUCAGAAUCAGCAAUUUUUCUAAGAGAGAGACAAAGCACAAGCAGGGGAGGAGCAGAGAGAGAGAGGGAGACACAGAAUCUGAAGCAGGCUCCAGGCUCUGAGCUGUCAGCAGAGAGCCCAACGCAGGGCUUGAACCCACCAACCCUGAGAUCAUGACCUGAGCGUUAACUCAAACGCUCAACCAACUGAGCC